rnacentral:rRNA from 1 species
UACAGAGGUGGCAAGCGUUGUUCGGAAUUACUGGGCGUAAAGGGCGCGUAGGCGGUCCGAUAAGUCCUGUGUGAAAUCCCUCGGCUCAACUGAGGAACUGCACGGGAGACUGUCGGGCUUGAGUUCGGUAGAGGGAAGCGGAAUUCCGGGUGUAGCGGUGAAAUGCGUAGAUAUCCGGAGGAACACCGGUGGCGAAGGCGGCUUCCUGGACCGACAUUGACGCUCAGGCACGAAAGCGUGGGGAGCAAACAGG